UGACAAUGAUAUAAAGAUAAUGGUACCAACACAAUAUGAUUUAAACAAAACAGUUUCUCCUUUAUGGAAUUGGAACCAGAUAAGACGCUACGAGCUAAGCUGGGUGAUCAGCCCACGACAUAGCUCCGAACCCGCAUAUUCAAUACGAGUUCUCAAAUAUAAAGGAUCCUAGGCACACUUUGGCCUUUAAUAAUUCAAUUGGGACCGGCGCCUCGGUCAUAAAACAUUUUCAUCCAAUUCCCUUUCGAAAACAGAUAAAUCAAAUCAUUUUUCAUUUUAAAACCAAGGUUCAAAAUCUGUAAGCAACAAUGAUUCUCAACCAAAUAUUCAUUUCAACACCUUAGCAUUAGAGUUCUACUAAUUAAGUAUUCUUUAUCAAGGGUAUAGGUUACUGAAUCAAGUGUAUCAAUGUAUUUUAUAAUAAUGGCAGGGUAGGUUGUAUGAUGAUAACUAAGGUCUUUCAAGAAAUGGGGUUUCUUUUAUGGGUCAGAAACAAACAAGUGAACUUGUUUUAGUUUAUAAGCAAGAACACAAUUUGUUGUAGUUAAGAGAGAGGUAAGAAAACAAGAUUCUAAGCUCAAUAUUAAGUAACUGGCAGUUGAAGAAGAUAAGGAUGACAAUUAAGUUGAUACAUUUUCAAAAUAUAAGUGACAAAGGGUAUUCCAUUUCAUACUUGGACGCCCCCCCUAUCAAGCAAGAAAGAAGCGGCGGCUUUCAUCGUUGAUGAACACAUGCGCUAAUAAGGGGUGAUUCCAGAAUACUAGUUAAUUAGUAGAAGUCUAAUUCUAUGAGGAGUUUUGCAAUAUUCAAAGCAUAACAAAAGCAUUGCAGGAGAAAAAUCUUUUAAAGAGAAAGUAGGUUGGAUAUAUACUUGCCUUUAACUCCGGUGUCUAUCUCAAAUUUCUAUUAACACUAUGUAGUGCCAUAUCAUUCCUUUCAGCUAGCUUCUGACAAGAUUCUAUCAAUAGCAAAUCUCUGCCUAACUUCAACUUGCAACACUACCUUGGCUAUUUCUGAAUAUCCAUUUCAAUCACUUCUCGAUCCAUGCCACGAUCAACAUCUCGUUCAACUCUAUACGAUAAUAAAACAGUAUUUCAGUCGUCAAAUCCGACUGAUUAACUAACUCCAAAAGGCAUUAAGACCUAUAUAUAACUACCCUUCGCAUAUACAUACCACGUAGCCAGAUAAACACAUAGCACAUAGUUGAACAAUUAACUUUUAUAGAUAUUAAAAGUCAAUAUUGAUAAGUUAACAUAUAACAUGUUUCAGUUAACCAUGUCACCUUAUUCUAAUCUAUUUAAUAUCCUUUAACAAGUAAAACAUAUAUAGUUUCUAACGAAAAUUCGACAGCACUUCCUCUAUUUAUCGGACUAUCCACCUGUUUUCUUAUAUUAUUCAACAAGUAACCAGCUCAAUCCAACUCAAUAAACCAAUAAGUACGGGACCAAUAUCAGUUAAAACACAAUAUCACAGUAUGCACACUCACAUCGCUAGAUUUGAAAUCAUAUAUCACUGUUAGACAUGAUUAACACUGAUCAACCAAGUAUAACCUCCUCCUAUGCACUAAUCAAAGAAAGAAAACUAGAACAAAUAGUUCAAACAGCCCUCACUCUAUGAUUUUUAAUAAAUUGAAAAUUUAUCUUUUUAAUACAAAAUUUUUAUGAGACACUCCUAAACAUUAUUCCAAUCUACUAUAAAAAUUUCAGAAGCAAAUUCCAUGUUUAAGAGAGUAAAACAGGGCCUGCAAGUCAAGAACCUGAAUCUGUCCUGCAGAACCAGCCCCACGCUAAGAAUUUUAAUAAAUAGAAAAAUUGGUCUGUUUGUAUAAAAUUUUAAUGACAUAUUCCAGACACUAACAUCUAACUCCAGUAAAAAUUUCAGAAUUAAACACCAAGUAUAAGGCCUCCAAACAGAGUCUGCAAUCAGUACAACAGACCCUGUCGAGGAACUCUGCGCACGAAGCACCUCUUUGAUCAUAACUUUUAACUCAAUUAUGAUUAUAAUCUAAUUCUUUCGCAGGUGUAAUCUACACUCCAAAUUGUAACUUGUCACCAAAAUUCAUUGAAAUAUAACAUUCUUAAGACAACUAAAUGUUUGUACCAAAAUAGUAGAAAAUGGUAGCCACUCGAGAACCAAUCUGCACCUAUACAACUCAAUCGCUUAUAACUUUUAAUACAUUUAGCAAAACAUAGUAAUUCUUUUUCAUACUUAAUCUAAACUUCAAGAAACAUAAAAUCACCGAGAAAUCAAGCAUAUCAUACGAACUAAACAAUUCCAAAACAGAGAUUCAAAACAAGACAGCACUGCUACGGAAGCUUGACAACAAUUGACUCAAUUCUAAUGCCACAACUCAAACUAAUCAAAACCCAUAUAACUACAUAUCUUUAUAUGUGUAAUCUGAUUCGAAUUAAAAAAAAAUACUAAUUCACAGCUUUAGACAUCACACAAGCAGGUCUGUACAUAUACAUACACACAAAACCAAUAAAGGAGACAAUUCAAAAUAUACCCAAUUAGAAUAACCAGAGGUGUAGGUGGGUUGUGGCCAAUAGAGUUAAUUGACCGGAGAACUGAAGUAUAAGGCUGGCUUCGAGGGCCACUGUGCAGCGACUGGAGAUGUGGUAGGAGGCUAGGAGCGGAGGAUGGCAGCUACGGAGAAAUCCGGCGGCGGCAGGACAACCCGACAAAGCACGGUGCCGGGAAACGAAGCAGCGGGUACAAAGGUGAAAGAUGGAAGCGGGUGAGUGUUCAGAGAGAGAGAGAGAGACGCGAGAGAUUGAGGGAUAGCAAGGGAUUGAGGGAGAUUGAGAAACAGUGACGAGAGAGAAUUGAUGAGAGACGAGGGUUUUAGAGUCUGUAAAUUAGGGAAGAAAGAUGUACGUGGCAGUAGAAUAGAAAGGAUACAUGACCACGCGGCUUAAUUAUAACCUGCCAUCUAUUAUUUUAUAUAUUGACUAAUCAACUAUCAAAUACCCGCUUUUAACUGAUUUACGGAGAUAAAUCACAGCAAAAUUUCUCC
rnacentral:lncRNA from 1 species